CUACGGAGGAUCCGAGCGUUAUCCGGAUUUAUUGGGUUUAAAGGGUGCGUAGGUGGUUUGAUAAGUCAGCGGUGAAAGUUUGCAGCUUAACUGUAAAAAUGCCGUUGAAACUGUCGGACUUGAGUGUAAAUGAGGUAGGCGGAAUGCGUGGUGUAGCGGUGAAAUGCAUAGAUAUCACGCAGAACUCCGAUUGCGAAGGCAGCUUACUAAGCUACAACUGACACUGAAGCACGAAAGCGUGGGGAUCAAACAGGAUUAGAUACCCUGGUAGUCCACGCAGUAAACGAUGAUUACUAGCUGUUUGCGAUACACAGUCGGUGGCCAAGCGAAAGCGAUAAGUUAUCCACCUGGGGAGUACGACCGCAAGGUUGAAACUCAAAUGAAUUGACGGGG
rnacentral:rRNA from 1 species